UCCAGCGAGGCCCUGGAGGACUGACGUAGAGUAAGGGUUCGUGUAAAAAGCCGUUGCACUCGAGUCAGUCGAUCCUAAGCCCUAGGAGAAAUCCUACGUCAAUGACGGCGUACUUAUACUCUAAGUUUUUACUCUCUGUCUCGCACUGGCACACUCUCACUCGUCGCGCGUGACGCGCGCGCCCGCGUGCCGGGCGACGCUGUACGUCACGCUGAACGACGAGCUGUGUGCUCGCGAGCUCAAGUGUUCUGACACACGCCCGUAGGGCGAAAGGAAAUCCGGUUCCUAUUCCGGAACCCGGCAGCGGAACCGCAUACAAUUCGGGCCCUCGUAAGUGUGUUCGUCGGGGUAACCCAAAAUGACCUGGAGACGACGUCGGGAGAUCCGGGAAGAGUUUUCUUUUCUGUAUAAGCGUUCGAGUUCCCAGGAAACCUUUAGCAGGGUGAUAGGGUUUGGUUCGCGAAGAGCACCGCAGUUGCGGCGGUGUCCGGAUCUUCCCCUCGGACCUUGAAAAUCCAGGAAAGGGCCACAUGGAGGUGUCGCGCCGGUUCGUACCCAUAUCCGCAGCAGGUCUCCAAGGUAAAGAGCCUCUAGUCAAUAGACUAAUGUAGGUAAGGGACGUUGGCAAAUUGGAUCCUUAACUUCGGAAUAAGGAUUGGCUCUGAGGAGCGGGGCGUGUCGGGCUUGGUCGGGAAACGGGUUUGGCUGACGUGCCGGACCUGGGCGAGGUGAAUGCUCGGCGUUCUCGCGCCGAACACGGGAUCCGAGCUCGGUCCCGUGCCUGGCCUCCCGCGGAUCUUCCUUGCUGCAAGGCUCCCGUGGCGGCGCGAGCCGUCGCAGUCGUCCUCCUCGGCCGCCAGUCAACGCUCAGCUCAGAACUGGCACGGACUAGGGGAAUCCGACUGCCUAAUUAAAACAAAGCAUUGCGAUGGCUCUCGCGGGUGUUGACGCAAUGUGAUUUCUGCCCAGUGCUCUGAAUGUCAACGUGAAGAAAUCCAAGCAAGCGCGGGUAAACGGCGAGAGUAACUAUGACUCUCUUAAGGGUCAGCCUCCUCAGCUCUUGAUACCCACUCAUUGGAUUCUUUGAGCUGUGGACUAAGGCCCCCUUACAGCGAGUCGUAGUUGGGACGCAAUGCGCAACGU
rnacentral:ncRNA from 1 species